AUCGAACGCUGGCGGCAGGCCUAACACAUGCAAGUCGAGCGGAGCGGCGGACGGGUGAGUAAUGCCUAGGAAUCUGCCUGGUAGUGGGGGAUAACGUCCGGAAACGGGCGCUAAUACCGAAUAUUAUAAGAUGAGCUUAGUUUGGAUUAGCUAGUGGGUGGGGUAAAGGCCUACCAAGUCGACGAUCCGAAACUGGUCUGAGAGGAUGAUCAGUAACACGGGAACUGAGACACGGUCCGAACUCCUACGGGAGGCAGCAGUGGGGAAUAUUGGACAAUGGGCGAAAGCCUGAUCCAGCCAUGCCGCGGGUGUGAAGAAGGUCUUGGGAUUGUAAAGCACUUUAAGUAGGGAGGCGUUACCAACAGAAUAAGCACCGGCUAACUUCGUGCCAGCAGCCGCGGUAAUAC
rnacentral:rRNA from 1 species